rnacentral:rRNA from 1 species
CACGUAGGGGCGAGCGUUGUCCGGAAUCAUUGGGCGUAAAGAGCUCGUAGGCGGCUCAGUAAGUCGGGUGUGAAACCCCCAGGCUCAACCUGGGGAACGCCACUCGAUACUGCUGUGGCUAGAGUCCAGUAGAGGAGUGUGGAAUUCCGGUGUAGCGGUGAAAUGCGCAGAUAUCGGGAGGAACACCAACGGCGAAGGCAGCACUCUGGCUGGAACUGACGCUGAGGAGCGAAAGCGUGG